rnacentral:rRNA from 1 species
UACGUAGGGUGCAAGCGUUACUCGGAAUUACUGGGCGUAAAGCGUGCGCAGGCGGUUUUGUAAGUCUGUCGUGAAAGCCCCGGGCUCAACCUGGGAAUUGCGUUGGAGACUGCAAGGCUAGAAUCUGGCAGAGGGGGGUAGAAUUCCACGUGUAGCAGUGAAAUGCGUAGAGAUGUGGAGGAACACCGAUGGCGAAGGCAGCCCCCUGGGUCAAGAUUGACGCUCAUGCACGAAAGCGUGGGGAGCAAACAGG